rnacentral:rRNA from 1 species
AUUGAACGCAGGCGGCAGGCCUAACACAUGCAAGUCGAACGAGUGGCGGAGGGGAGAGUAAGGGCUGGGAAACUUCCUGAGGGAGGGGGAUAACUACUGGAAACGGGAUCGAAUACCGCAUACCAUCCGAUUCGCCCAGAUGGGAUUAGCUAGUGGGUGGGGUAACGGCUCACCAAGGCGAGGAGCCCUAGCUGGUCUGAGAGCAUGACCAGCCACACUGGAACGGAGACAGGGUCCAGACUCCUACGGGAGACAGCAGUGGGUAUUAUUGCACAAUGGGCGCAGGCCUGAUGCAGCCAUGCCGCGUGUAUGAAGAAGGCCUUCGGGUUGUAAAGUACUUUCAGCGGGGCGGCGUUACCCGCAGAACCCUCUCCGGCUAAAUCCGUGCCAGCAGCCGCGGUAAUAC